rnacentral:rRNA from 1 species
UACGAAGGGUGCAAACGUUUGCUCGGAAUUAUUGGGGCGUAAAGCGCACGUAGGCGGCUUAGCAAGUCGGAUGUGAAAUCCCUCGGCUCAACCAAGGAAGUGCAUCCGAAACUGCUGAGCUUGAGUACUUAAGAGGAUCGCGGAAUUCCCGGUGUAGAGGUGAAAUUCGUAGAUAUCGGGAGGAACACCAGUGGCGAAGGGCGGCGAUCUGGGGAAGAUACUGACG